rnacentral:rRNA from 1 species
UACGAAGGGGGCUAGCGUUGCUCGGAAUCACUGGGCGUAAAGGGUGCGUAGGCGGGUUUUUAAGUCAGAGGUGAAAUCCUGGAGCUCAACUCCAGAACUGCCUUUGAUACUGAAAGUCUUGAGUAUGGGAGAGGUGAGUGGAACUGCGAGUGUAGAGGUGAAAUUCGUAGAUAUUCGCAAGAACACCAGUGGCGAAGGCGACCUGCC